ACUUGACCUCAAAUCAGGUAGGACAACCCGCUGAACUUAAGCAUAUCAAUAAGCGGAGGAAAAGAAACUAACAAGGAUUCCCUUAGUAACUGCGAGUGAAGUGGGAAAAGCUCAAAUUUAAAAUCUGGCAGCCAUUGGUUGUCCGAGUUGUAACCUAGAGAAGUGCUACCUGUGCUGGACCAUGUAUAAGUCUCCUGGAAUGGAGUGUCACAGAGGGUGAGAAUCCCGUCCUUGACAUGGAUUGCCAGUGCAUUAUGGUGUGCUCUCAAAGAGUCGAGUUGUUUGGGAAUGCAGCUCUAAAUGGGUGGUAAAUUCCAUCUAAAGCUAAAUAUGGCGAGA
rnacentral:rRNA from 1 species